CUAUACCAUCCCAUGUGCUCCCCUCCCACCAUCCCUGGCAAACUCCUACCUGCUUCCUUGACUAUAUAGAUCAAAGCUUAAAGGUAAAAUAAACUGAGCCAAGUCAAGAAACCCUCUUGAUAAGUUUCUAUCCUGCUAUAACAAAUCCCCACAAAUGUGGUGGCUUAAGAAAACAAAAACUUAUUCUUUUACAGUUCUACAGGCCAGAGUGUAAAACCAGCUUCACUGGACUACACUCCAGGUAUUAGCAGGGUUGCCCUUCUGGACACUAUGGGGAUCUGUUUCCUUGGCCUCUGUAGCUUCGAUAAGCUCUCUGCAGUCUCCAGCUUAGGGCUCCUUCUUCUGUCUUCAAAGUCACAUUCAUUAUCUCUGCUUUCAUCAUCACGUCGCCUUCUCUUCUCCAACUUCUCCAGCCCUCUUAUAACGACUCCUGAUUAUAUUGGGUCCAUUCAAAUAACACAGGAUAAUUUCCCCAUUUCAAAGUCCUUAAUCGCAUCUAUGAAGUCAAUUUUGCCAUGUAAACUAACAAAUUCACAAGUUACAGAGAUUAGAACGUGGACAUCUUUGGUGGGGUCACUAUUUGGUCCACUAGACCACCUUUCUGGGAAAGUAGUUCAUCCAUAUGUGGCCAAUGUAGGAAAAUCAAAGAUUUUCCUGGGAUUGCUAUUAGGAUGGGAGGAGAACUUAUAUUUGCUGGGAGUGGCUAAGCUUGAAGAAAAUGAGCCUGGGGCUCCUGGGAACUAUCUUUUCAGUUAUAGAGAGGAAGGUCUUCUGUCUCAAGCAGGAGGGAAUGAAACCAACUGACUGGGAACUGUAGCCCAUAACAUGGAGGCAAAGGGCUGUGAUGUCAAUAUUUGAAUACCUCUAGCCAGCUACACUUAAAAUCAAAUCUAUCUCUGAGUUUCCAGUACAUUCCAGUACUUCCAAGCCAGUACAUUUCCUUUCUACUUGAGCUACUUUGUGCUGAAUUUCUGCACUAAUGACUGUUCGUAUAUUUUUCUCAAACAGUAAGAAGGGGAAGGAAGUGAGAGGCACCUCAUUUAUUUUUCUGCUAUUUUAAGGUGUGUCAUAGACUAUUUUGAAUAUCACUGAGGUUGAAACCGUCAAAAUAAGACUUCACACAACACCAUUAGGUUUUGUUUGCCUAUGUCUACAUGCUAUCAAAUUACAACAGAGAAUCAGAAGCUAAUUAUAGUAUAUUUAAAAGAAAGAAUGUGACCGUAACUGGGGAAGUUAUUCAAAAUAAUGGACUUCUUGACUUUUUGCCCAUUUCUGAAAGAAAAUAAAAGGACUAUUUCUCCUUCACAAGAGGCCUAUGUCUAGAAUUGCAGGCACCCUUGCCUAGAGGGAGGCAGGUGGAUUGUAUUAGAAGCUCUUUUAACUUUCUGGCCUGGAAACCUUUAUUUUGCAAGUUUUCCCAUCAGGAAAUUAUCAUGGGCUUUUCCUGAGAGAACGUGGAAUAUGGAAGAUGGUGUUUAAAGAAGGGGAGCGUGGCCCAACCUCAAAGGAAGGGUGAACUAUAGUGACCACAGAGUGUUUCUAGAGGUGGAGAUCUUUCUUCUCCCCUUGAAUCUGCAUGGCCUUCUGGCUUAUUUUAACCAAUAGAGUGUGGGAGAAGUGCUGCCUGUUCAGUCCCAGAUCAUAAGAGGCCUGCAGCUUUUCUUUACUCCUUCUUGGAACACUGGCCACCCCGGAAGAAGAUUGGGCAGCACUGUCAGAUGGUAAGCGGCCACAUGGAGACAGGUCCUGGGGAGAGAGGCUGUCGGGGGAUUUCUUGCUCCAGAAGCUCUCCCAGCUGAAAGCAGUCACACGAAUGUCCCCACUCAACACCAUGAAGAAUGAAGAUGAGCCUCCCACCUAGUUCUGCCCAAAUUGAAAAAUCCUGAGUAAAUAAGUGGUUGUAUUUUAAAUUGUUAAAUUUGAGGUGAUUUGUUAUGCUAUUAAUGUAACUGAAACAAGUAGACUCCCUAAAAUCGGAAAUAAGGGAUUGGUGGUGGGUGGCGUGGUGACUAAGACCGUCAUCUUGCUUUGUCCUGGUGAUUUGCUUUCCCUCAGUGCAUCAUCCUGGAAGGAUCAGGACCUCUAAGUGGAGAACGCCGCGUGGUUGUUAAAAGACUAGGUGCCAAAUGCCAGUUACUGGGAAUGAUGGGAAGGUCUCCACGGCCACACUUGACAUGGAGUAUGGAGGAACUGGAUAGGUUGGAUCUUUGGGAAAAUUCUUUAACAGGACAUGUCACUUCUUUCUUUCUCUUUCUUACCUGUCUGGAAUCCAGAUGUCAUAAGAGAAACUUCAGGAGUCAUCUGGGACCAUGAAACAAUUUUGUGGAUGAAAGUCGUGCUCUAAAAAUGUCCGAACAGAAAGUUGGAAGGAUCCUGGAAUUAGAUGACUUUGUAGAACUGCUUUAUUUGGAACCCCAGUCUCACCUGUUAGAAGAACCCUUAUUCCUUUAAGCCACUUUGAGUCUGAGUUUCAUGGAACGGUAGAUAUUUCCUAACUCAUAUAUCCCACAAAAUGACCAAAAGUAUGUUUGCCACAGACCUUAGUGAGUUAUCGCGUGAACCAUAUUUCAUUUAAUUUAGGAUAGCAAAGAAAUCUAGUUUCCUCUACCUUUGUAUCAUGACGCAGAUCAUUUAGCAACAGGUCUUGCAUAAAUGCCCAUAGAGACAUUAUAGGCAAUUAGAUUCCUCUUACACACUGAAGAUGUGAUGGGGAAAGCUUGGGUGUUAAGUGAGUAUAAAUCCAGGAUUGACUCUCAGCUUUUCCGUGGACAAAUGACAAUCUCUCCACGCCUCAGUAACCCUCUGUGGAAAAAACAGCAGUAAUGCCACCUCGCUGAGUUUGGGGGACGAUCUACUGUGAUAGCUUACAAAGCACAAAUUACACUCUCUGAUGCAAAGGAGUGUUUAGUAAAUGAUGGUGUUUUAGACUGUGUGCAGUGGUAGAAGGGAAGAAUAAUACAGAAAAGGGAAAUUAGACGAGGGAGACGCCAGUUAGUACAGAGAAGAGAAGGCUUAGAUGGUGAGAUAAUGCGUUUCACGGUUCUGCUUUCUGCAGACCUUUGUCUUCCCCCAAGUGGAGUGGAGCAAGGAGACAGGUGUGUACUAUAUUAACAGUGAGUGAGUUGUACCAGUACAGCUACUUACCCCAAAUCCUGGCUCUUUGUCCAGGAUCUGAAAACCAAACUAAGACUUGUAAAGGAAAUAAACCAGUAAGAAUGAAGAAUACCCUAAUUCAGUGAGUGAUUUAGCAAAUAAUGAUCAAACACAGCCAGUGUUCCAAGCACUGGGAUAUAGUGGAGGACAAGAAAAGUCAAGACCCUGCCUUAGUGAAGCUUGGAGCAUAUAGCAGAGGCAGGUGGGUAGAGCAUCUGCGGUCAGGACUGCCUUGGAGGAAGGCAAAGCAGGUGAAGAGACAGACAGAGGGCAGGUGGGGUAUGUCCACAAUAAUGCUUACUUAAAUGCAAAUUGAAAGUGUAAAGACUAAAUGUUGCUUCAUUACUUUGUCUUCAAAUAAUCCAGGUUUUGUCUGAAGGGUCAUAGAGAGAGAGAUUCUGUCCAAUCAUUUUCUUCUCUAGAGAAAGAUAUGACAAAAUGGAUCCUGAAUACUAGUUCUAGCACCGAGCAUCCUUGGAUCAGUUGUAGCACUUCUCUAAGCUUCAAAGUGAGAGUUCAAUGUGAGAUAAUAUUCAUUGUAUGAAGUAUACAGAAAGACCAAGUUAAAAGAUGAAGCCUUGGAACAUCUUACCUGAAGGAAAUUUUGCUUUGGAGGGACAGAGACUUAACCCAGGUUACUAACUGUCCCUGGUCCAGAUGAAAAGGAAAGAGAAGGGGCUUAGUGUCUUUCGUUGCUUCCGUUUUGGAGACAUUACAUCCGCCUCAUUGAGAAACACUGGCCAAAGGCUGCCAGCCAAUAAAAGCCCUCUCCCCAGGGGAGGUGUCAGCCGUGGAGCAAGAGACCAAGAGGACUGAGGUCAUCAAGGACAGGAAGGAUGGGCCCUGCCCAAACGUAAAUGCUGUAUCCCCAGAUUGGAAUUCUGCCAACUGUGCGCUGUAAGAAGCUGAAAGGCAUGUUGGAAAAAACAGAUUCCAGAUCCAAAUACCUUUGGGGAAAACCUGGAGUAAGGAAAACAAAAUAGAUCUCUUCACUCCCGGGCAUCUUCGACUUUUUGUAUGUGCUCAUGUGCAUUGGACCGGCGGAUAAGGAUGUGUAAUGAACACCUCUGUUUUCAAUUUCCUUGUGCUGUUACACUUCCUCCGGGCAUAUUUAUUAACAUUCUGGCAACAGUGUUCUGUGGGAAAGACUAAUUUAGAUUAAUUUGAAAUCAACCAAUUUAUCUGAAUAUUUAGGGGAAACAACACUAACAAUGACCGUGUACUGUACAUGCCCACCUAGCACUGACUUUGGCCUCCCAAAAUGAAUACGGGAAAGCAAGGAACAUUUCAUAAGGUACUCCCAUCUCAAAAAUAUUGCUUUUGGUUUUUUGGCCCAGAAAGGAAAGGAAAAAUAGUUAAGCUAAUUUUCUCGUGGGCAAAGGUUCAUUGUUUCAUUCCGUUUGGGUCCCUGCGGCCUUUGCCAUGUUUGGUUAGGGCUUCUUCAGUGUGCACAGGCUCGCGUCUGCACAGGGGCCCCCAAAUCCUGGUUCCUAAUUAAAGAAAAGCCUCUUGAAAAGCACGUUUUGACCUGGCAAUUUAUGAUGUUACGUCUGAAGUUGUUUAUCAUAAUAAUAAAAAGUGGGGAUUCAUGUGCUUCUGAUUACUUUAUAAUUCUUGUUCUUGAAUGUUACAUUAAAAUUUAUUUAUGCUUAAAAUUCUGACUAUUUCUGUUUAAUCGACCGGUUUAUUUCAGCUUUGUGCUUGGCAGAUCUAGAGGUCUAACCAGUUUCUACAGCUAUGGACAAUUGUUCUUUCGUUUAAUUUCUAUGAGACCGGGUUUCAGUUUGUUGCUUUUGUUAAUAAAAAAGUACAGUGAUUCCUAUUUACAGAGUGUCUGCCAGGCGCAUCACCUUGCUUUAUCUUUUCAAAAGUCUUCUGCAGUAGAUGCAGUUGUUUUGCCCAUUUCACAGAUGGGGACUGGGGUUUACAGAAGUGAAAUAAUGCCUAAGGCCACUCAGCUGAUAUGCAACAGGGCCUAGAUGGGAGCCCAGGCCGUCUGCACUACUUUUAACUCGCAUAUCCAGUUAAGAGUAGAACUUGGAGACACAAUUCUUAAAAUCCAUCUGGUUCUUCAAGGUCUUUCCAGAGUCAUAAAUUUGUGGGAAUCCAAACAUGCUUUGUUUACUGUUCACAUGAAUGAAUGUAUAUUUGGGAACUCCCAGGGCUCUGUCAAUACCUAAAAGCCCACAAUGUACAAACCAUCCCAGGAGGGAAAGAUUAAAAGGAACACAGAGUUAGCUCAUCUUGUUUAAUUGGACCAGCAUGAGUAGCUGACUAAAACGGCAAAAGAGCAGUGCAGUUGUGGAUGUGGGACCACAGGGGCAAGAACGCAGCCUAUGUUCCUGGAUCUUUACUUGAAAGUGGAUGUCAUGCCUGGCACAAAGCCGUUCUUCUUGGGGACAUCAAAGAUACUUGACAACCAAGGCUAUGGUAAAGCAACAGCUACAGAAACACGAAGGACUCAGAUACCUAUAAACUGCCUUCAAAAUAUAUACCAGAAAUUAUGAUUUAUUGUUGAUGGCACCUGGGCAGAUGUGCCAAGAUUUAUGCUUUAUUUGAGAUCUGGAGGAGCAGAUGAUUACAAAUGAGGAUAAAGUACCUCUUUAAAUGCAGACGUAUUUUCACUUUCAUUGAGAUACAUUGUGGUUUUUGUUUUUUCUUCUUUCUGUUGUGCCGGCUUGAGAAAUACUCCAUCAUGUGAAACAGAUUAUGUUCUGUGUAAUCAUCUGAAAGUAUAUUAAAGCCACAUUGUGAUCUGGCAAUAGCAUCUUACUUACUUUGAGGGGAAAAUUACAGUGUAUGAUUUUAAUAAUAGAUCACUCAAGUAUUUGAGUUCCAGGAAGAUCAAAUGAGCUCCCCUGUCCUCUCUUCUUUCCCUCAACCCUUGCCCCAUUGAGCACAAACAUUUCCAAGAAACCUUUUCUUGAGCAGUCACCAAAGUUCCUAUGUGAGAUAAUAACAUGCCUGCAUCUGAGCCCUGUCUCCACGGGAGGCGGGCGUGCAGUCUCAUGGAGAUCCCACAUGCACAUCAAAUAUCUACCACGGA